rnacentral:rRNA from 1 species
UACAGAGGGUGCGAGCGUUAAUCGGAAUUACUGGGCGUAAAGCGUGCGUAGACGGUUAUUUAAGUCGGGUGUGAAAGCCCCGGGCUCAACCUGGGAAUUGCAUUCGAGACUGAAUAGCUAGGGUACGGUAGAGGGAAGUGGAAUUCCGAGUGUAGAGGUGAAAUUCGUAGAUAUUCGGAGGAACACCAGUGGCGAAGGCGGCUCACUGGUCCAUUACUGACGCUGAGGUGCGAAAGCGUGGGGAGCAAACAGG